AUUGAACGCUGGCGGCAUGCUUUACACAUGCAAGUCGAACGGUAACAGGUCUUCGGAUGCUGACGAGUGGCGAACGGGUGAGUAAUACAUCGGAACGUGCCUAGUAGUGGGGCAUAACUACUCGAAAGAGUAGGUAAUACCGCAUGAGAUCUACGGAUGAACGCAGGGGACCUUCGGGCCUUGUGCUACUAGAGCGGCUGAUGGCAGAUUAGGUAGUUGGUGGGGUAAAGGCUUACCAAGCCUGCGAGCGGUAGCUGGUCUGAGAGGACGACCAGCCACACUGGGACUGAGACACGGCCCAGACUCCUACGGGAGGCGGCAGUGGGGAAUUUUGGACAAUGGGCGAAAGCCUGAUCCAGCAAUGCCGCGUGCAGGAUGAAGGCCCUCGGGUUGUAAACUGCUUUUGUACGGAACGAAAAGCCUGGGGCUAAUAUCCCCGGGUCAUGACGGUACCGUAAGAAUAAGCACCGGCUAACUACGUGCCAGCCGCCGCAGUAACAC
rnacentral:rRNA from 1 species